UCCAAGGCUCUUUUAAGAGCCACUACGUGCGCAUUGAAAAGAGCUGU
rfam:Chelonia mydas contig215284, whole genome shotgun sequence.